GGGUUGUGAGGUUAAGCGACUAAGCGUACACGGUGGAUGCCCUGGCAGUCAGAGGCGAUGAAGGACGUGCUAAUCUGCGAAAAGCGUCGGUAAGGUGAUAUGAACCGUUACAGCCGGCGAUGUCCGAAUGGGGAAACCCAGUGCAAUUCGUUGCACUAUCGUUAACUGAAUACAUAGGUUAACGAGGCGAACCGGGGGAACUGAAACAUCUAAGUACCCCGAGGAAAAGAAAUCAACCGAGAUUCCCCCAGUAGCGGCGAGCGAACGGGGAGCAGCCCGGAGUCUGAAUCAGCUUGUGUGUUAGUGGAAGCGUCUGGAAAGUCGCAGGGUACAGGGUGAUACUCCCGUACACUAAAACGCACAGGCUGUGAACUCGAAGAGUAGGGCGGGACACGUGGUAUCCUGUCUGAAUAUGGGGGGACCAUCCUCCAAGGCUAAAUACUCCUGACUGACCGAUAGUGAACCAGUACCGUGAGGGAAAGGCGAAAAGAACCCCGGCGAGGGGAGUGAAAAAGAACCUGAAACCGUGUACGUACAAGCAGUAGGAGCCCACUGGUUGGGUGACUGCGUACCUUUUGUAUAAUGGGUCAGCGACUUAUAUUCUGUAGCAAGGUUAACCGUAUAGGGGAGCCGCAGGGAAACCGAGUCUUAACUGGGCGUUAAGUUGCAGGGUAUAGACCCGAAACCCGGUGAUCUAGCCAUGGGCAGGUUGAAGGUUGGGUAACACUAACUGGAGGACCGAACCGACUAAUGUUGAAAAAUUAGCGGAUGACUUGUGGCUGGGGGUGAAAGGCCAAUCAAACCGGGAGAUAGCUGGUUCUCCCCGAAAGCUAUUUAGGUAGCGCCUCGUGAACUCAUCUUCGGGGGUAGAGCACUGUUUCGGCUAGGGGGUCAUCCCGACUUACCAACCCGAUGCAAACUACGAAUACCGAAGAAUGUUAUCACGGGAGACACACGGCGGGUGCUAACGUCCGUCGUGAAGAGGGAAACAACCCAGACCGCCAGCUAAGGUCCCAAAGUCAUGGUUAAGUGGGAAACGAUGUGGGAAGGCCCAGACAGCCAGGAUGUUGGCUUAGAAGCAGCCAUCAUUUAAAGAAAGCGUAAUAGCUCACUGGUCGAGUCGGCCUGCGCGGAAGAUGUAACGGGGCUAAACCAUGCACCGAAGCUGCGGCAGCGACGCUUAUGCGUUGUUGGGUAGGGGAGCGUUCUGUAAGCCGUUGAAGGUGGCCUGUGAGGGUUGCUGGAGGUAUCAGAAGUGCGAAUGCUGACAUAAGUAACGAUAAUGCGGGUGAAAAACCCGCACGCCGGAAGACCAAGGGUUCCUGUCCAACGUUAAUCGGGGCAGGGUGAGUCGACCCCUAAGGCGAGGCCGAAAGGCGUAGUCGAUGGGAAACAGGUUAAUAUUCCUGUACUCGGUGUUACUGCGAAGGGGGGACGGAGAAGGCUAUGUUGGCCGGGCGACGGUUGUCCCGGUUUAAGCAUGUAGGCGGAUGUUCCAGGUAAAUCCGGAACGUCAUUAACGCUGAGGUGUGAUGACGAGGCACUACGGUGCUGAAGUGACAAAUGCCCUGCUUCCAGGAAAAGCCUCUAAGCAUCAGGUAACAUCAAAUCGUACCCCAAACCGACACAGGUGGUCAGGUAGAGAAUACCAAGGCGCUUGAGAGAACUCGGGUGAAGGAACUAGGCAAAAUGGUGCCGUAACUUCGGGAGAAGGCACGCUGAUGGUAAGUGAAGCGACUUGCUCGUGGAGCUGAAAUCAGUCGAAGAUACCAGCUGGCUGCAACUGUUUAUUAAAAACACAGCACUGUGCAAACACGAAAGUGGACGUAUACGGUGUGACGCCUGCCCGGUGCCGGAAGGUUAAUUGAUGGGGUUAUCCUCGCGGAGAAGCUCUUGAUCGAAGCCCCGGUAAACGGCGGCCGUAACUAUAACGGUCCUAAGGUAGCGAAAUUCCUUGUCGGGUAAGUUCCGACCUGCACGAAUGGCGUAAUGAUGGCCAGGCUGUCUCCACCCGAGACUCAGUGAAAUUGAACUCGCUGUGAAGAUGCAGUGUACCCGCGGCAAGACGGAAAGACCCCGUGAACCUUUACUAUAGCUUGACACUGAACACUGGUCCUUGAUGUGUAGGAUAGGUGGGAGGCUUUGAAGUGUGGACGCCAGUCUGCAUGGAGCCAUCCUUGAAAUACCACCCUUUAAUGGCUGGUGUUCUAACGUGGGCCCCUGAUCGGGGUUGCGGACAGUGUCUGGUGGGUAGUUUGACUGGGGCGGUCUCCUCCUAAAGAGUAACGGAGGAGCACGAAGGUCAGCUAAUCCUGGUCGGACAUCAGGAGGUUAGUGCAAUGGCAUAAGCUGGCUUGACUGCGAGCGUGACGGCGCGAGCAGGUGCGAAAGCAGGUCAUAGUGAUCCGGUGGUUCUGAAUGGAAGGGCCAUCGCUCAACGGAUAAAAGGUACUCCGGGGAUAACAGGCUGAUACCGCCCAAGAGUUCAUAUCGACGGCGGUGUUUGGCACCUCGAUGUCGGCUCAUCACAUCCUGGGGCUGAAGUAGGUCCCAAGGGUAUGGCUGUUCGCCAUUUAAAGUGGUACGCGAGCUGGGUUUAGAACGUCGUGAGACAGUUCGGUCCCUAUCUGCCGUGGGCGCUGGAGAAUUGAGGGGGGCUGCUCCUAGUACGAGAGGACCGGAGUGGACGCAUCACUGGUGUUCGGGUUGUCAUGCCAAUGGCAUUGCCCGGUAGCUAAAUGCGGAAGAGAUAAGUGCUGAAAGCAUCUAAGCACGAAACUUGCCCCAAGAUGAGUUCUCCCUGACCCUUUAAGGGUCCUGAAGGAACGUUGAAGACGACGACGUUGAUAGGCCGGGUGUGUAAGCGCAGCGAUGCGUUGAGCUAACCGGUACUAAUGAACCGUGAGGCUUAACCUUACAACGCCGAAG
rnacentral:rRNA from 1 species